rnacentral:misc_RNA from 1 species
GAGGCCAGCAUCGAGCGUUGUUGGCACAAGCGCCCUGAUUCAUGUCCGAGGCUGUCGUGCGCGCCGAGCGGGAGCUGUGCGCGUACGUGGUGGCACUCCAGAAUGUGCUGCAGGCCGCAACUGAGGAUGCCAUGCCGCAGAGCCUGUGGGACGGCGCCAGAGAGAAAGACGACGAGGUGGGUGAACCUGCUGCCGAUGGAAACCAUCACGGCGGAAUGCCGGACACGUUGAUUCAACAGGUAGAGCGUGAAACAGCACUUGAGCGGCGCCGCAUUCACGAGCUUGUGCGCCGGCAUCUGGCGCCGCAGCGGGCUGCCCUCCGUGCGGCCAUUGUACAGCUCGGUGGUGGUCAGGAUGCUUCCGGGAACAUCAUCGAUGUUCCGGUAGCGUUGCUCGAUCAGGAAAUCGCGGCCGCGGCCACCGAAAGCGCGGAGCUGGGCCGGCGCAUGGUGGAGCUGUACGACGAGGCGGCGCUGCUCGCCACGCGAAUUGAGGCGGAGGUGAUGAGCAAGUCGGUGCCACCCCUGUAGAGAAUCUCCCUCCCUCCUGUCCGGUGGCGCACGAGGAGAGAGAUACAUGAGGGCUGGUUCUGCGGCAGCUGAGGUGCCGCGACUCCUCUCGUUCUUUUUUUUGGUGCCUGUGAAAGGACGUCGAAAAUCUGCUUAGACAUUCACAUCCACAUAAGCAAACCACAAAGAAAUGUGGCGUGCUCCCAUGCUGUGCCUGUGCCUCUGCACAGCUCUCCGCCCGCUAUAAUCAUAAAUGUCUCGCCGCGGGCCACACCUAUCCGACUGGAGGAUAGGUGGAGAAGGAGGCAUCAACUCCCGUCAUCAAGGCCGCGUAGUGCAGAGAGGAGAAGAAUAGUAAAACAAAGAACCGACGAGUCACAGGUGCGCGAGGCGGCCACCAUGAUCUGCGUUUGAGUACGCGCUUCUUCAUGUCUGUACAAG